CAAAGGUAGCAUAAUCAUUUGCCCCAUAAUUGGGGGCUAGCAUGAAUGGAUGAACGAGGGCUUAACUGUCUCCUUCUUGAUUUUUGAAUUUGUAGUUAAUGUGAAGAUACAUUAAUUUUUAAAAAAGACAAGAAGACCCUUUUGAGCUUUACUUUUUUUUUUCUUUAUGUUUCUUAAUUAGUUUGGUUGGGGCGACCAAGGAAGAUAAUUUUUAUUUAUUUUAUGUUUGUCUUAAUAAGGAUCUUCCUUUGUUUUUUUUUGAACCAUGCUUUUUGGUUUAUAGAUUAAGUUACCAAAGGGAUAACAGCGUAAUUUUUUUUAAAAGUUCUUAUUAAAAAAAAAGAUUGCGACCUCGAUGUUGACUUAUAAUUUCCUUUUGG
rnacentral:rRNA from 1 species